GCACCUUCGGUGUCCGAGUUGUAAUCUCUAGAAGUGUUUUCCGCGUUGGACCGCACACAAGUCUGUUGGAAUACAGCGGCAUAGUGGUGAGACCCCCGUAUAUGGUGCGGACGCCCAACGCUUUGUGAUACACUUUCGAAGAGUCGAGUUGUUUGGGAAUGCAGCUCAAAUUGGGUGGUAAAUUCCAUCUAAAGCUAAAUAUUGGCGAGAGACCGAUAGCGAACAAGUACCGUGAGGGAAAGAUGAAAAGCACUUUGGAAAGAGAGUUAACAGUACGUGAAAUUGUUGGAAGGGAAACGCUUGAAGUCAGACUUGCUUGCCGAGCAAUCGGUUUGCAGGCCAGCAUCAGUUUUCCGGGGUGGAUAAUGGUAGAGAGAAGGUAGCAGUUUCGGCUGUGUUAUAGCUCUCUGCUGGAUACACCUUGGGGGACUGAGGAACGCAGUGUGCCUUACGGCGGAUUUCUCGAGAUCUUCACACUUAGGAUGCUGGUGGAAUGGCUUUAAACGACC
rnacentral:rRNA from 1 species